ACGAACGCUGGCGGCAUGCCUCACACCUGCCAGUCGAACGAGACCUUCGGGUCUAGUGGCGCACGGGUGCGUAACGCGUGGGAAUCUACCCUCAGGUUCGGAAUAACUCAGAGAAAUUUGAGCUAAUACCGGAUGAUGACGUAAGUCCAAAGAUUUAUCGCCUGAGGAUGAGCCCGCGUAGGAUUAGGUAGUUGGUGAGGUAAAGGCUCACCAAGCCGACGAUCCUUAGCUGGUCUGAGAGGAUGAUCAGCCACACUGGGACUGAGACACGGCCCAGACUCCUACGGGAGGCAGCAGUGGGGAAUAUUGGACAAUGGGCGAAAGCCUGAUCCAGCAAUGCCGCGUGAGUGAUGAAGGCCUUAGGGUUGUAAAGCUCUUUUACCCGGGAUGAUAAUGACAGUACCGGGAGAAUAAGCUCCGGCUAACUCCGUG
rnacentral:rRNA from 1 species